GCGAACGCUGGCGGCAGGCCUAAUACAUGCAAGUCGAGCGGUCCCUUCGGGGGCAGCGGCGGACGGGUGAGUAACGCGUGGGAACGUGCCCUUUGGUACGGAACAACUGAGGGAAACUUCAGCUAAUACCGUAUGUGCCCUUCGGGGGAAAGAUUUAUCGCCAUUGGAGCGGCCCGCGUUAGAUUAGCUAGUUGGUAGGGUAAAGGCCUACCAAGGCGACGAUCUAUAGCUGGUCUGAGAGGAUGAUCAGCCACACUGGGACUGAGACACGGCCCAGACUCCUACGGGAGGCAGCAGUAGGGAAUCUUGCGCAAUGGGCGAAAGCCUGACGCAGCCAUGCCGCGUGAAUGAUGAAGGUCUUAGGAUUGUAAAAUUCUUUCACCGGGGACGAUAAUGACGGUACCCGGAGAAGAAGCCCCGGCUAACUUCGUGCCAGCAGCCGCAGUAA
rnacentral:rRNA from 1 species